AGGAGCCGAUUGAGGGGCCGAUGCCACAGAGCCAGACUGAUGAGGGGAGUGAUUAGAGAACCCCGAGCUAUCGCUUCACCUUGGGAUAUUGGAGGAGUGGCACCCGAGCUGGGAGCUGAGACCUUUGGUCAAUCACUGGAAGAGGGCUAACGGCUUGGACCUUAGACGAUGAGGACCCCCUCCUUGACAUCAUGCCUCGACUCGAAGCAUAAGAAGCCUCAGCUACCGAUUGCACCAAGACUGCUGAUUUAUGUCACAAAUUGACAUAAAAAGUAUCAAUUAAUAUCUAAAUUAUCUAACUUUAUUAAGAAAUUGAUACUUGUUAUUAUAUUUUGCAGAAGAAGAGAUCAUCAAUAGAAAGAACAAGGAAAGAGGAUUCCAACGGCGUAAAUUUUAUGCAAAACGGAGUUAAAUUGACCCAG
rnacentral:lncRNA from 1 species